rnacentral:rRNA from 1 species
CCUACGGGAGGCAGCAGUGGGGAAUAUUGCACAAUGGGGGCAACCCUGAUGCAGCCAUGCCGCGUGUGUGAAGAAGGCCUUCGGGUUGUAAAGCACUUUCAGUUGUGAGGAAAGGUUAGUAGUUAAUACCUGCUAGCUGUGACGUUAACAACAGAAGAAACACCGGCUAACUCCGUGCCAGCAGCCGCGGUAAUACGGAGGGUGCGAGCGUUAAUCGGAAUUACUGGGCGUAAAGCGCACGCAGGCGGUCUGUUAAGCUAGAUGUGAAAGCCCCGCGCUCAACGUGGGAGGGUCAUUUAGAACUGGCAGACUAGAGUCUUGGAGAGGGGAGUGGAAUUCCAGGUGUAGCGGUGAAAUGCGUAGAGAUCUGGAGGAACAUCAAUGGCGAAGGCAACUCCCUGGCCAAAGACUGACGCUCAUGUGCGAAAGUGUGGGUAGCGAACAGGAUUAGAUACCCUGGUAGUCCACACCGUAAACGAUGGAUACUAGCUGUUCGGAUUUAUCUGAGUGGCUAAGCGAAAGUGAUAAGUAUCCCACCUGGGGAGUACGUUCGCAAGAAUGAAACUCAAAGGAAUUGACGG